GCCAGGCGCGGUAGCAUGAGCCUGUAGUCCCACCUACUCGGGGGGCUGAGACAGGAGGAUCACUUGAGUCCAAGAGUUCUGUGUUGUAGUGUACUAUGUCAUUUGGGUGUCUGCACUAAGUUCGGCAUCAAUACAGCAACCUCCCAGGAUGGGGGGACCACCAGGUUGUCUAAGGAGGGAUGAACCAGCCCAGGUUGGAAAUGGAGCAGGUCAAAACUCCAGUGUUGAUUAGUUGUGGGAUUGCGCCUGUGAAUAGCCACCGCACUCCAGCCUAGGCAACAUUAUGAGACCCUGCCU
rnacentral:SRP_RNA from 10 species